GGCUGAAAUUCGCCUUCCAUGAAGCCGGAAUUGCUAGUAAUGGCAGGUCAGCAUACUGCCGUGAAUACGUUCCCGGGCCUUGUACACACCGCCCGUCACACCAUGAGAGUUGGGAAUACCCGAAGCCUGUGAGCUAACGUAAGAAGCAGCAGUCGAAGGUAGAAUCAAUGAUUGGGGUGAAGUCGUAACAAGGUAGC
rnacentral:rRNA from 1 species